AAUUUAUUGAAACAAAAUAUCCACAGUAUAUUAAAUAUCUACAAAAAUAUGUAGAAAGAAAAAAAAAACCGUAGAACGCUAAAAACAAAAAAACGAUUUGCAAAUAACAAUCAUAUAUUUAAUCCUAUUUUAUACUGUUAUCAUUUGUUAUGUGUGUGGGUGCUUAUCGAAGUGGUUUUGUCUUUUAUGUGUUGUGUUUGUUCCUCUUGUCUUGCAUCCCCGUUGGGCAUGUGGGAGCGCAGUGUGUGUACAUUGUUCAUUCAUUCAAUCUAGUUGCCGAAUAUAGAGAUAAAGUUACGCUUCACGUGGUCUGGGCAAAUUGCAUUCACUUUCUCCACUUCAGACCCUAUCGUUCCUAUUGGUCCGUCCAUUCCCUAUCUGUACAUACCAUAUUAUUAAUUAAUCCAUCACCACAAGCACAGCACCAAACAGAUUAGAGAAUUUCAUAUGAAUACCAUUAUCUGCAUAGCAAUAACACUAACUUUUUCAAUUUGUCACACAAAUAGAUGAAAGGGAAUGUGAGUACAGAUUGGAUUUUUUUUUCAAGACCAACCUUCAACCUUCGGGCAGCGUUUUCCGGCAACCCGGCACCGUACUUCCUUCUUUCUCAAUCGUUUAUUUCUGGUUCGUUCCUAUUCAUCAUUACCAAGUUUUUUCCUCUUAUUUAUUCUUCUUUUAUGUUGUUUCAAUUGUUUGUUUUGAUUGUUUUUUUUGAACAUUUUAGUUUAAUUUUGAAUGUUUUUCUGGUGUGCUGUUUCACUGAAUUAUUAUUCUUCUAUUAUGUUGAUUUUUUUUCGAACAUCGUGCCUAUUUUGUGAAGGAGGAGGAGAAGGGAUUUUUUUCAAAAAUUGUGACUUAUUUUUUUCUCUAAUUUGAGAUUGAUUUUCAUGUGGAUUUUGCACUGUAGUCUUGAAAUCGUGACUUACAAAUGAUUUUUUUUAAAGAAUCUUAAUUAUAAUGAAUAAAUUAUUAAUGUUUUUGCAAAGAAAAAAUAUAAUAUAACUGGGUUUCAUUUUUAUAGUUCGCCUAAGGCACCAAAUAUCUUAUGACCUGCCUAUAACAAAGUUGUACCAAUGUAUCCAAUCCCGUCAUAUAUAUUAUAACAUAUAUUAUAAGGUAGAUAUAUAAUUGUGAUAUUUUAGUAACUAAUGUAACAAAGGGCAUAACUUAAUAAAGUGGCAGUGGCAUAAUAGGGAGUUAUGAUUUUAUGCAUGUGUAAAACUUUGUUAUAUUGAUAGUGUAUAUGAAUUAAAUCCUAUGAAAAACAUAUACUAAUUUGUAUGACACCAACACAUUAUUGAUAAUAAUUUGAGAAAAUAAAUUAAUUGAAUGUAAUCAGUGUGUAAGUGUUGGAUAUCGGGAUGGGAUGUCGAUUAAAAGUGUCGGUACUACAGAGAUUAAAUCUAUUUUUUGUUUUUAAAUUAAUAAUAAUUUUAAUUUUAACUAAAUAAAAAAGUUUAGGAAACUAAAUUAUUAAAUUUUAGUGAAUUAAAUUAAAAAUAAAUUUACCACUACAGAUAAUUUAAUUUAAAAAUAACAUAUAUAUUAAUUAAAAGAUAAAAAUAUCGAUACGUUAAUCUUUUUAAGAAUACUAUAGAAAUUCAGUUAUCAUUAGUUUAUUAUUAUUGUAAAGAGCUUCGAUUUGUGCCUCAAAUUGGUUGAUGAGAGGACCAUCUGAUUUGAAGCCACUCAUUCUAUCAUCAUCAAAUGACGUGGCAAACUUUAAGAGGCACGUGCGACGCAGGAGGUUCGUGCUUCUUACACAUGGAAUGGAACAUUUUGCAUAAUAUAUACUCCGUAUAUACACUCAUAUCUUACCAUUGAAUUAAUAUUUACCAUAUGUGACUUGUAUUUACAUUUACUGAAGUUUGGCAUUUCUUACAUCGACUUAGGCUGUUUAGGGAAUCUCUAGAAUCUACUAUCCUGUGGCAGUUCCCACCUCA